GAUGAACGCUGGCGGCGUGCCUAAUACGUGCAAGUAGAACGCUGAAGGAAGGAGCUUGCUCUUUCCGGAUGAGUUGCGAACGGGUGAGUAACGCGUAGGUAACCUGCCUGGUAGCGGGGGAUAACUAUUGGAAACGAUAGCUAAUACCGCAUAACAGUAGAUGUUGCAUGAUAUCUACUUAAAAGGUGCGAUUGCACCACUACCAGAUGGACCUGCGUUGUAUUAGCUAGUUGGUGAGGUAACGGCUCACCAAGGCGACGAUACAUAGCCGACCUGAGAGGGUGAUCGGCCACACUGGGACUGAGACACGGCCCAGACUCCUACGGGAGGCAGCAGUAGGGAAUCUUCGGCAAUGGACGGAAGUCUGACCGAGCAACGCCGCGUGAGUGAAGAAGGUUUUCGGAUCGUAAAGCUCUGUUGUAAGAGAAGAACGAGUGUGAGAGUGGAAAGUUCACACUGUGACGGUAUCUUACCAGAAAGGGACGGCUAACUACGUG
rnacentral:rRNA from 1 species